UANGCCAUGCCAGUAAAAGUUCAGCCAACAAUAAUGGUGAAACCGCGAAUGGCUCAUUAAUGCAGCUUUAGUUUAAAAGAUAAUAUAUAUUACAUGGAUAACUGUGGUAAUUCUAGAGCUAAUACAUGAUUUUUCUUUCCUUUAUGGUUAGAGCAUUUAUUAGAAAAAGCCGCCGGAAGUCUUUAGGCUUCUUGGUACAACGUGGUGACUCUAAAUAACUUGUUUGAUCGCGUAGGUCAUUGUGCCAGCGACAAUCUUUCAAGUGUCUGCUCUAUCAACUGUCGAUGGUAGUUUAUACGCCUACCAUGGUGAUAACGGGUGACGGAGAAUUAGGGUUCGAUUCCGGAGAGGGAGCCUGAGAAACGGCUACCACAUCCAAGGAAGGCAGCAGGCGCGUAACUUACCCAAUCCCAGCAUGGGGAGGUAGUGACGAAAAAUAACAAUACGGGACUCAAAUGAGGCUUCGUAAUUGGAAUGAGUACAUUCUAAAACCUUUAGCGAGGAUCAAUUGGAAGGCAAGUCUUGUGCCAGCAGCUGCGGUAAUACCAGCUCCAAUAGCGUAUAUUAAAAUUGCUGCGGUUAAAAAGCUCGUAGUUGUGAAUGAAGGACAAAUUGCCCAGGCAGCAAUUUGCUGCCGCCUCAAAUUUGUUCUAUCCGCGUCUAGCGCUUGUUGUCCUCUUUACUGAGGGCUUUAGGUGUCUGACAUUUUCACUCUGAUAAAAGUAGAGUGCUUAAAGCAAGUCAAUCGCUGUUAUAAUAAUGCAUGGAAUGAUGGAGAAGGUUGUCGGACCGUUUGUGGCUAGGAACUGACAUAAUGACCAAUAGAAUCGGCCGGGGGCAUUUGUACUGCGGCGACAGAGGUGAAAUUCUUGGACNNNNNNNNNNNNNNNNNNNNNNNNNNNNNNNNNNNNNNNGUUUUCAUUGAUCAAGAACGAAAGUCAGAGGUUUGAAGGCGAUCAGAUACCGCCGUAGUUCUCGGCUAUAAACUAUGCCAACUAGCAAUCCGUGUUAGUCGUUGUAAUUGACAUGACGGGCAGCUUCGGAAAACCAAAGUGUGGUUCCGGGGGAAGUAUGGUUGCAAAGCUGAAACUUAAAGGAAUUGGCGGAAGGGCACAACAAGGACUGGGGCUUGCGGCUCAAUUUGACUCAACGCUGGAAAACUUUCCUGGCCAGAACACUGAAAGGAUUGACAGAUUGAUAGCUCUUUCUUGAUUCGGUGGAAGGUGGUGCAUGUCCGUUCGCAGUUGGUGGAGCGAUUUGUCUGGUUAAUUCCGAUAACGAACGAAACGCUAUCUUAUUAAAUAGAGCUCAUAUUGCAAGUCGUAUGUAAGUUUCUUCUUAGAGGGACAAGGUGUCUUCAGCACCGCGAAACGGCGCAAUAACAGGUCUGUAUGCCCCUAGAUGACCAGGAACGCACGCGCGCCACAAUGAAAAGAGCAGCGUGUAAUUUCUUUCUUGAAAAAGUUGGGUAACCCGUUGAAUCCUUUUCUUGCUUGGGAUAGGGGAUUGCAAUUAUUUCCCUUGAACGAGGAAUUCCUCGUAAAUGCUAGUCAUCAGCUAGUGUUGAAUAUGUCCCUGCCCUUUGCACACAUCGCCCGUCGCUAUUACCGAUUGAAUGAUUUAGUAAGGCUUGCUGAUUGAUUUUUUGAGAAACUUCUUGUUUUUAGGAAAAUUAAAAGACGGCCGAACUUGAUUAUUUAGAGGAAAUA
rnacentral:rRNA from 1 species